rnacentral:rRNA from 1 species
AGGAUGAACGCUAGCUACAGGCUUAACACAUGCAAGUCGAGGGGCAUCAGUUUGGUUUGCUUGCAAACCAAAGCUGGCGACCGGCGCACGGGUGAGUAACACGUAUCCAACCUGCCUCAUACUCGGGGAUAGCCUUUCGAAAGAAAGAUUAAUAUCCGAUAGCAUAUAUUUCCCGCAUGGGUUUUAUAUUAAAGAAAUUCGGUAUGAGAUGGGGAUGCGUUCCAUUAGUUUGUUGGCGGGGUAACGGCCCACCAAGACUACGAUGGAUAGGGGUUCUGAGAGGAAGGUCCCCCACAUUGGAACUGAGACACGGUCCAAACUCCUACGGGAGGCAGCAGUGAGGAAUAUUGGUCAAUGGACGCGAGUCUGAACCAGCCAAGUAGCGUGAAGGAUGACUGCCCUAUGGGUUGUAAACUUCUUUUAUAUGGGAAUAAAGUGGUCCACGUGUGGAUUUUUGUAUGUACCAUAUGAAUAAGGAUCGGCUAACUCCGUGCCAGCAGCCGCGGUAAUACGGAGGAUCCGAGCGUUAUCCGGAUUUAUUGGGUUUAAAGGGAGCGUAGGCGGAUUGUUAAGUCAGUUGUGAAAGUUUGCGGCUCAACCGUAAAAUUGCAGUUGAUACUGGCAGUCUUGAGUGCAGUAGAGGUGGGCGGAAUUCGUGGUGUAGCGGUGAAAUGCUUAGAUAUCACGAAGAACUCCGAUUGCGAAGGCAGCUCACUGGAGUGUAACUGACGCUGAUGCUCGAAAGUGUGGGUAUCAAACAGGAUUAGAUACCCUGGUAGUCCACACAGUAAACGAUGAAUACUCGCUGUUUGCGAUAUACAGUAAGCGGCCAAGCGAAAGCAUUAAGUAUUCCACCUGGGGAGUACGCCGGCAACGGUGAAACUCAAAGGAAUUGACGGA